rnacentral:misc_RNA from 1 species
GAACAAGAUUCAAUAUAACAAGGACGUGGGGCAUUCUAUCAUUGAGAGCUAUUCAAGGGUGAUGGAAAGCUUAGCCUUCAGUAUAAUGGCGAGGAUUGAUGAUCUCCUAUACGUGGAUGAUGCCACCAAGCAACGAGCAGCAGCAGAGUCAUCAUCUCUGUAUGACCAAGGAAGGCUUGAGGGAGCACUUCCUAAACAGAAAUGGAUGUCAUCUAGCUCUUUUUCUUUUCAACACAAUCUUUCUGCCUCUCCAUCUCUGUUGUCAAAAUUUGACUCUUUUCAUAAAAAACUUAGAAUCUCUAGUGCAAGGAGACAUCAUUUUGCAAAGAAGAGCAAGCUAAAGGACUCACCAAUUCAGACCCUGCAGAAACUAACCUUCUAAGUUGAAGGGGCAAAUCGUCUCAUAUAGCUCAAGGACUAGUAAUGCGUCUGUAUCUUGUUUAUCUAGCUAGAUCCACUUACUGUAGAUGAUAGCUAGUUUUGUAAGCCUGAUAGGCAGAGAAGGUAGGUAGCAAAACAAUGUUGAAUUAGUUCCUUCACGAGCAGAGAGCAUACCCAUGAAAUCUCUAUAUACUUGCUGUUGUGGGGAUCUUCAAUAAUAUAACUCCUUGAAGGCCUUGUGUUCCUAUUCGAAAUGCAUAAGCCUCAUCUCUGUUUCAAAACCUCUUUAUCUGAGAGGUCUAUAAUUUCAUACGUGAAUUCAAUGCUUUUUAGUCUUCCUUGAAUUUCAAGGUUUUUUGUUAACAUAAGUUGGCCUGUCUUGUAACAGCUAAACAGGGUAAUUUUUUGUUGGACGAAGACUUCUCUCUCCUCUCCACGAAAAUGCUAUUAACAUGGAUCAGUAGAAUUCUGCAGCUGA